AUUCUGUCACAAAAUUGUCUCUUCACAGCUGUAAAGUUUAAUUUGCAUACAAAAUCUUUUUUUAAUUAUCUGCAUAGCCACAUUCUUAGACCUUAGAUUCUACCUUCUUGUGUUUUAAAGAAAUGGUAGUCAACAAAUACAUUUUUCUUUCCCUAGCUGGAAGACCUAGCCAUUUACAGGCUGCCAGGAUGUGACAAGUGAUUCCUCAGAGCACUCCCAAGGUUACAACAGCAUUGUUUUGAGGAUAUGUAGUUUACAGAAAAAGACAUCGACUUUUCUUCACCCAUCAGAUAACAGUCCCCAGCAACCUUCAGUGUACUCAUUCUCAUGUGUCUCUCUCAUCAUCUGGACCUCAACAUCUUUUUGUCUAGUUUGGUAUUAAGUCAUUGUACUCUGCUGUGGAGCGUUAUCGCUGCCUGUUCUGCAUUUCUGUUGGAUAGUGCUGAAUUUAUUGUCAUAAGAUUCUCUAUUUCUCUGUAUCCCUCUAUUUUUUCCCUUGUUCUUUAUGUAUUUGAUAUUUGAAAAUACUUGUAGCACAAAUGCAGAAGCAUUCAAAAGAACAAAAAAGAAAAAAGCCUAAUUAUUUCAUUUUUAGUAAAGAC
rnacentral:lncRNA from 1 species